ACUUCUUCGCUCUCUUUUCCUCAGCUGUGUCCAGUUGUCCUGAUUAGCCCUCAGUAGGUGUGUAGUGUGGUGUAGUAUUUACAGCUUUGCCUCUGUUGUGCUUUCGUCAAUGUUUUUGUGUUCUGUUUUUUCUUUCUCGAUUACGUUGGAUUGUGCACUUUGUUUUCUCUUGUGGACACUUGCGUUUUGGACUUGAGUGGACAGCCUGAAUAAAGUAUCUGGAGGAAGAGAGUCUGACAGAGGAACAGAAGAUCUGUGGCAUUUUAAGCCACUAUAGAGGAAAUGAUGAGCUCAACACACAUGGACCAACAUGGAGCGAGAAGUCAGCGCUCUCAGGAGGCCGACAAACCUCACAGAACAAAGAGAGAGAGAAAAUACAGCUGUGAGGAGUGUGGGAAGGAUUUUACUGCAAAGGCUUUCCUAAAAAGACACACAGUCAGCCACACUGGAGAGAGACCGUUCAGCUGUGACCAUGUGGGGAAACUCUUUUACCUGGGCUGGACACUUAAAAACACACCUUUUCAUCCACAGUGGAGUAAAACCAUUCAGAUGUGACUUGUGUGGGAAGUUCUUUACUCAGCAAAGUGGCCUAAAAAAGCAUCAAUGUGGGAAAUGUUUUACCCGGAAAGAUGGUUUGGAAAGGCAUAAGCUCAUCCACCGUGGAGUUAAACCAUACAGCUGUGAUCAGUGUGGAAGAGCUUUUAAUCAAAGGAACCACUUAAGAAUGCACCUAGUUACCCACUCUGGAAUUAAUGCAUUCAGCUGUAACAUCUGUGGAAAAACCUUUAGCCGCAAAGAGAACCAAAAUAAACACCUACACAUUCACACCAGACAUUUGUACUGCUGUGAUCAGUGUGAGAAACGUUUUGCAACAGAUGCAGACUUGCAAUACCGCAAACUUACCCACACAGAGGAGAGGCCUUAUAAAUGUGACCUGUGUGAGAAGGCUUUUAAAUAUCCAAAAUCCUUGAGAGUCCACCAACAGAUCCACACCAGAAAGAAACUGUACAAAUGCAGUUACUGUGAGAAGCAGAGCGACACAGAUGGAUCCAGUUCUCAACCCUAUCAUCGUUGUUGUGGUGGGAAACCAUUUCAUUGUGACCUUUGUGGAAAAACAUUUAACCAGGAAAGAAGCCUAAAACUACAUUAACGUAGACACACAGGAGACAAAAUGAACUACUGCAAAGAAUGUCGGAGAGGCUUCCCCACUCCAAGUGAGUUAAAACAACAUGAACUCUUCCACAAAGGGUUUAAAAAGCAUGUCUGUGACCAGUGUGGGUCGUCACUCAUCACUGCAGGUGACCUUAAAAAGCAUAAGAGUCCACACAGGAGAGAAACCAUACAAAUGCAGACACUGUGACAGAAGCUUCUCACAAUCAGUUAAUCACAAUGAUCAUGUGACUAAAGCUCUAGGAAUCUCUGCUAAUACUCUAUACAAUCUUUCAACCUUCUGAUUCUGUGUUAAUCCCUACUCCCAAAACUCUAAAUGGUUUUAAACCUGUUCAUUUUAAAACCUUCAACUAAGAACAGAAUAUGAAACAACUGCUGUGACUUUGUCCAUAAAAAGGAUGAAAAUGAAACUUGACCUGGUCCUGUACUCUCCUUCAGUGUAAUUUGUACCACUAUGUGGAGCACCGAGUCAGUGUAACCUUAAUUUAAUUGGGCAAAGAUCAUUUUGUCAUUUACAGUGGUAGCUUGCAGAAGGAAAAGCCUCUUUUUUUUUUUCUUUCUUUUUAACCUGUCCCGUUUGGUUCU